UACGUAGGGGGCAAGCGUUGUCCGGAAUCAUUGGGCGUAAAGAGCGCGUAGGCGGCCCUGUAAGUCCGCUGUGAAAGUCAAGGGCUCAACCCUUGAAUGCCGGUGGAUACUGCCGGGCUAGAGUCCGGAAGAGGCGAGUGGAACUCCUGGUGUAGCGGUGGAAUGCGCAGAUAUCAGGAAGAACACCAACGGCGAAGGCAGCUCGCUGGGACGGUACUGACGCUGAGACGCGAAAGCGUGGGGAGCGAACAGG
rnacentral:rRNA from 1 species